GGAGGAGCUGUGGGGGGCAAGCGUAGCACUUACUGUGGUUGCAGAGGAAGCUGAGAAUCUGCUGAAGGAAUUGAUAACAGAAAUUUGGAUGUAUAGCAUCAACAUGCAAAUAAGAAUCCUCCAUUUAAUAUUAUCUUUCUAACAAGUUCCUAUUCCUUCCUGUUGAGGGGGGGGUCACUGACUAAGCAUACAAACAUAUGAACGAGAGUCAGGAGUAGACCGUUCAGCCGUUCCAGCCUGCUCCGCCACUCAAUAAGAUCAUGACUGAUCUGAUUUUAACCUCAACUUUGCAUUCCUGCAUAUCCCUAGUAAUCUUUCAUUCCCCUUGGUAAACAAGAAACUAUCUACAUUUGCCUUAAAAAUAUUUAAAGAUUUUCAUCAAUUACUCAUUGAGUAAGGGAAUUUCAAAGACUUGAAGCCCUCUGAGAGAAAAGAAUGUUUUUGGAAUUCUGUCUUAAAUGUGCAACCCCUCAUUUUUAAAUAUGACCCCUACUUCAAGAAGUACUGCUUAAAGUAUGGAUGGGUGCUGGAAAUCCAGAAUUUUAAUUUCAGUCUGCUGCUGUAAAUAUAAGGGAAUCCAUUAGAAGCCCUAUAGGAUCAGUAUUAACAGCAAUUUUCAGAUAUUUAUCCUUCCUUUUGAAUUCCUGGCCAGCCACCUCGAGCAUCAUUGGAAUCCAGGAAUGAAGUUUAUAACAUUCUAACAGUGCAGAAUUUGAGAACUAUAAUGCUUGGGAGGCAGCAGGAGAUUGGAAACACAAUUAGUGUGAUGAAAGUGAAACAGUUCUGUCUUGUUUUAGCUUCUUGAGGUCUCUUUCGAUUACUAAUUAUAAGCUGUUUUGAAAAUAAAACUAGCUGACGUGAGAAUAGUCGCAAGUUUCACAAGAUUGCAAGUUAUUUAAAAAAGAGGAAAAAUAUUCAACCCAUAUUUGUUCAGUCAUUCAGAAUCACCCUUCAGAGCUGCUAGUACAGCCCCUCCAAUUGUUUCUUAAAAGCACCUAAUCCAUCUCUUGGACCAUUUUCAUUCCAAGCAUUGGUCACCGUAUGCAUUAAGAUAUAUCCUGUUCUAAGUCAUAAAAUCAUUUUUUACCAGUCUGAACCUGCAACUCGUGGUUUAUUUUCACUAUUAUUUUAAAGUAGUAACACUGUUUUGUCUUUUUACUUAGUUUCUUGUGUACUUUUUAUGAUCACCUCUCACAUCUUUCCUACCAGUUGAAAAAAAUCUUCGCCCAACCUAUUUUCUCAAAAUUCAGUUCCCAAUACAAGGACUGAACUUGGCAGCUGUCUUCUGCACUCCCUUCAAUCCUUGCAAAACUCCCUAGUGUCAAAAAUAAAGGUAAAUACAAAACAAAAAAACAAUUGAAAAUAUGUCAGAUGAAUUCAGGGGUGAAUCUCAAUCUGUUGAUUGCAGAUUGAUUGAUCAACCACUUCAUUAACAUUCCAAGAUUACUUUCUGCUUCAUCUUCAGCUAUUUCAAUAUCAUUCAUGGAAUAACUAUUUUGCUUACAUUUUUAUUCAUGCUGCUAUGCCUUACAACUUUGUCAAAUUCAAUCAGUAAUUUCUGAGUUGGUUCCACUGUUGCUGUCUUGAGGGUAUCAUCUGUGAAUUUGUGAAUGUUACUUUGGGUCUUUGAGAUUUAGGGAGAGCAAACACAAGAGUCAUCAUUGCUGUACUAACAUGGAUUUUCACCUUAGAUCAUCACAGUGUAAGAUGUAUCUGGUAGAUUUGCUGCCACCAACCUCUUUCCUGGUAUGGAUCUACAGGACCUGCUUGGCUUAGUGGAGUAGAAGAAAACUAUCUGGUAGUCUAGUGAGAAGAGGUUCUUGUUAUAAACAAAAUGUAGAUUGCAUGAUGGCAACUAGGUUCAAGUUACCUUAGUGUGAAAAACAUUCUUAGACAAUGAGGGUGACCUUUAUGUCAGAUGUGAUGCCUCAAGAUCCAAAGUUGUUUCAUUGCCCAAAUCCAUGUGACAUCAUAUAAUAUAUGACACACAUGUUCACAUAGUCUAUUUUAAAUUACCAGACUGCACCAGCAGAGGAAUAUCAGUCCUGUCAUGCUCAAAACCAUAUAAUUCAGCCGAUAGAAAUGUAUCUGCAGGGGCUAGUCAUUUACAUGACAUUGCAAAUUCCUGUCUGUAACACAAACAAUGAUUUAGUUGGAAAAUGUGUUGCUGAAAGGAAUGAAGACAGAGACACUGAUCUUACUGACAGAACAUUUUCUCUGCUUUUUCCACUGACAACACAGCAUAACUCAACAUUUAAGGCAGGAGACUUAAAUAGUGAAGUUAUGCAUUCCAAUGACCAUUUACAUUCUUCUGGGUUUCAAUUAACUCUGAAGGGAAACGUGCCACAGUUUUGAUAUUUUAUGGUACUGGGGCAAGUGGCUCAUAACUUUAACUUAGUGAAAAUUCCCAAAAAUUUGAUUUUUUUUUCCCUCCUUGGAUUUGGUUCUAAUCGUUCAAUAAAAAAAAUGGCAUUCUUGAGCACUGUAUUGCAGGUCCAGCAGGAAGAUUCGGAGAUAAAUGCAUGCCUUUCAGGCUCUGAUAACCAUGAUGAUCAGCAACAUAUAUAAUCCAGACUUUCCAACAUCCCCCACAUUGAUAGUGACGCUUGUCUGAUGCACCCACAUCUUUCAAAAUGGGCAUAUAGUUUUAACUCUGUUUCCCUCCUUUAUAUAUUAACAAACAGAUUUCAUUGAGAGGUCUGUGACAAUUCAAAACUGCAGUGCUUUGAAAGGAACUGCUUUGACACUCGACUAAAUCUUAAACCCUGUAAUUUUUUGCUGGUUAGAAACCUGUCAGGUGGCUGUUGACACACCUCUGCACGACUCAGAACUCUCCGUAAGACGUGGCAGCACCAGAAUCCUGCUUCAAAGGCCUCUCUGCCUGUGUCUGACUUUGGUGACAUUUUGUCCUUUUUUGCAAAACCAAGUGUCAAAGUGCAUCAUCCUCUCACCCAUGUCUGCUGCAAAGACAUUGCAAUAACUUCAAUCAAAUCAAGAGGUAAAAUAAAGCCAAAAGUCACAACAAUGGAAUCGGAAGUUUGAAGAACACACACAAUAUACAUUUCUAUUUUCUCUCUAGUGUCAGGACUGACCAAUU